rnacentral:rRNA from 1 species
UACGUAGGGCGCAAGCGUUAUCCGGAAUUAUUGGGCGUAAAGAGCUCGUAGGCGGUUUGUCGCGUCUGCUGUGAAAGUCCGGGGCUCAACUCCGGAUCUGCGGUGGGUACGGGCAGACUAGAGUGAUGUAGGGGAGACUGGAAUUCCUGGUGUAGCGGUGAAAUGCGCAGAUAUCAGGAGGAACACCGGUGGCGAAGGCGGGUCUCUGGGCAACAACUGACGCUGAGGAGCGAAAGCGUGGGGAGCGAACAGG